AGACUCGACGAGGCGACUACCAACGGAACGCGGAACUUAAAGAACGCGACAUCGCUUUGCUAGGACCGUAGCUUUUGGAUAGAAAACUUGUUAUGUUUCAGGUGUAUAGUAUCGGAAGUGACAGACUUCUAUCUUUGUUCCAGAAGUCUGUAAGUACAGAAAGAAGGAGUCGAUUAGUAGUGCUGCAGUAGUCAAGUCCUUAGAUGUUUGUAUAGUGAUUUGUCAAACGGUUUUAUAUGUUUUAUCUAAACUCUGAUAUGCACGAAAGGUUUUAAACUGCGUUUUUAAACCGUUUGUAUAUAUGCGGGAAACAGGGCAUUGCUUGAUAUGAGAUAUCACUUUGUAAGACCCUGAUUUCUAAAGAUCGUUUUGUAUCGUUUAAAGAAGUUUUAUAAAAACGUUUUGUGAA